CCUCCCACCCGUGUUUAUUUACCUCGUUGCUUCGGCGGGCCCGCCUUAACUGGCCGCCGGGGGGCUCACGCCCCCGGGCCCGCGCCCGCCGAAGACACCCCCGAACUCUGCCUGAAGAUUGUCGUCUGAGUGAAAAUAUAAAUUAUUUAAAACUUUCAACAACGGAUCUCUUGGUUCCGGCAUCGAUGAAGAACGCAGCGAAAUGCGAUACGUAAUGUGAAUUGCAAAUUCAGUGAAUCAUCGAGUCUUUGAACGCACAUUGCGCCCCCUGGUAUUCCGGGGGGCAUGCCUGUCCGAGCGUCAUUGCUGCCCUCAAGCCCGGCUUGUGUGUUGGGCCCCGUCCUCCGAUUCCGGGGGACGGGCCCGAAAGGCAGCGGCGGCACCGCGUCCGGUCCUCGAGCGUAUGGGGCUUUGUCACCCGCUCUGUAGGCCCGGCCGGCGCUUGCCGAUCAACCCAAAUUUUUAUCCAGGUUGACCUCGGAUCAGGUAGGGAUACCCGCUGAACUUAAGCAUAUCAAUAAGCGGAGGA
rnacentral:misc_RNA from 1 species